UACGUAGGGGGCGAGCGUUGUCCGGAUUUAUUGGGCGUAAAGAGCGUGUAGGCGGCCAGGUAGGUCUGCUGUGAAAACUCGAGGCUCAACCUCGAGACGUCGGCGGAAACCAUCUGGCUAGAGUCCGGAAGAGGAGAGUGGAAUUCCUGGUGUAGCGGUGAAAUGCGCAAAUAUCAGGAAGAACACCCGUGGCGAAGGCGGCUCUCUGGGACGGUACUGACGCUGAGACGCGAAAGCGUGGGGAGCGAACAGG
rnacentral:rRNA from 1 species